AAACGCCAUUUCCAUUUUUCUCUUCAAUUUCAGAGCUCAAAAUUCCCAUUUGAAGAAAACCAUGGAGGAUUCGCAGAUCGCUCAAUCCGGAAACUCAGGGAAAUCUAAGAUUCAACGCUACGCGUUGCGAUCCGCGAUUAAGCUGAAGGAGGAGAAGGAGGAGGAGAAGCCUCCGGCUUCUUCGGAAUUCUCUAAUUCCACUGCUUCCAAGAGGGUGAGAGCUGCAUCUAGUGUAAGCAAAAGUGUGAGCGUUCUUGAUCUAUCUGGCAAGGAAAAGUCUACUAAGCCACCGAGAAGGCUCUCUAUUCCUGCCAAGCCGGCUGCGACUCCAGCUCUGAGACCUGUGAGCAGUAUCACUCCAAUUUCAGAGGUUAGAGGGAAGAGAUCUGAUAGCAUUCAAAGGAUAACAGACACACCGGUUUCGGAUGUCUCUAGAUUGUCAAGCCGAAAGAAGUUCAGUGUUCUGUCCUCUGCAUCUUAUUGGCUGUCUCAGAUUAAGCUCUCUGAAGCUGCUGCUAAGCACUCAGUUUCGCUUGGGUUCUUCAAGCUGGCCUUGGAAGCCGGGUGUGAGCCUCUUCAGCGAGUGAGAGAUGAGCUUACGUGCUAUGCUCGCCGUCAUAACCUUAGUGAACUUGGAGACCCUGUGAAGGAAUUAUUUGAGAGUUACAACAUUGUGGUUGAAAGCACGGGGCAGUUGCAGGUCUCUGAAACCUGUUCUCAGGUACCUGAGGAGGAAACUCGAUCAUCUGAUGACGAAAUCCGUAGCUCGUCUUCUACUGUAGGUUCCAGGAAACUGAAGCCGAAGGCCUCAAACUCUGAUGCAGCUAAAGUUUCCGCAGUUACAGGAUCAACCACCAAGAAGAACACUAUUCAGAAAGUUAAUCCCACAUCAACCAGGACUCGGGUAUCUUUGACAAAGAAUUCUGCCAAUUCAAGAUCUCUUGCUGACACUGGGGCCAAUAAGUCUAUAAAGAAACCCCAAAAGCCAAUUAAGCAAGAAUUGAAAAAAGAAAGGGAUUUGACGAAGAAAAAGGGAAAGAAAUCUGUUGAUGAAGAAGGUCCAGUUAGCCCCUCUCAUGCGGAAAAUCCGCUUCAAGAGAACAAAGAAAAUAUGGACGCUUCCUCCAUGGAAGAGAUCAGUUUGGCCGAGGUCAUGUAGCCAUUCUGCACCAAAUAUGGCAUGCCAGAUGAUUUUCAUAUUCUUGACGGGUUUGUCUUCAGUGUUUUUUUAGUGGGGGCUUUUCCAAUGUAUAGAAAGGAUUAUGGUGCAAGUUUGUCGGUUUCUCGAAAAAAAAGACAAGUGUACAACGUUUUGAUUUGAUCAACUAAGCAGAGAAAUGCAAUUUUAGUCCAUUAUCAAUCUGAGCUGAUUUACUACUUACUAGAUGGCUAAGAUACGACAAAAUAUUAAUCGCAGUUAACCAUGACAAAAGACAAGUUCUCAAUCUCCAAGGACCAAAACGACAAUACUCUCUCCUUAAGUUGACUAAACUCCACUUUCUUCUUAUUCUUUUCACUCUUCAGCUCGCUUGCUUUACUACUUUUGGUGGCUCUUGGUAGUUGGUACUCACUAGAACCUACGAGGGCUUGUUGAAGUGCUACGAAUAGGGAAUUGGAAGAGCAAUGCAAUGAAGGCGCGUUAAAGUUAUUAGAACGAUGGAAAAGCAUUUCGAGAAGAUGAGCUUGUUCUACGAAUAGGGCUUGUUCCAAUGAAAAUUUAAUAGUAUGAAUGCUUUGCAUGAAAGGGAACCUUUUCUAUCUAAUCAUGUGUUUACUUACUAAAUUAGUAGU